AUCUACGAGCGAUCGUAUCUCAACUUGAGACGACUUUCAACUAUAUAAACCAACUAUAAUCUAUAAACGUGUCAUAUAUGUUUUCUCUGGAACAUCGAUUAACGGGUCUCGUUUCACUGUGCAGGGUCAAGUUUAGCGAUCCUGUUCGGAUUAAACAUGGCAGCUUCGUCGGUCGGAAGCGCGUUACCAGGGUGAAAGGGUGGUGUUUCACCGGGGCGCGUUUCAACGCCAGCGGUUCGGAAAUUUCGUUUCACCUUCGAUGCAAACGAACAGGAUUUCGAAGCCGACGGUAAGGGAAAAUUUAAUUCGGGUCUUAACCCAGUUCCGGAAGAAUGCGCACCGAGAAGGACCCGAAACGAGCGUCGAUACGCUUUUGCAUCCGCCGUAUCGAAACAGCUCGAAUCAACAAACUGAAUACGUACACAGAGAUUCUUGCCACUCGUGUGUCUCUUUUUUGACGAGAGAAGGGAUUGUAAACUCCUCCAUGUUAACUUCAACCCCUGAUAAAGAUGACUCUGAUGUUAAAGGAGUUCAAGUUCGAGUUCAGAAAAUUCGAAGUUUGAAAGAAGUUUCGUUCGGAGACAAAUUGACAACAAGCUUGAGAUGUUACAAUAAUUCGAAGAUUCUAUCAAAUUUAAAGUAUGUAAAAGAGUUUUGAUUUUUCUUCAAUUUUUAUUCCUCCAUGAGACACGUAAUAUCGAUAAUAUCAUUAAAAUAUCGAUAACAAAUGAAAGUAACUAUAAGAGUUAUUUCUAUUUCUUCUUAUUCAAAUUUAUUAUUAAAGUUAUUGUUAAUAGAAAUAGCUUAAGUAAACUACGGUAUAAUUUUUCGAUAAAAUGUAUUUAUUUUUAUUACAAAUAAUACUUUUAUCUUAAUAACAAUUUUCAAUAAGAAGAAUAUAGAAACUCUUAAUGAUAUCAAUAAUCAAUAAUCACAAUUCUAAAUAAAGAACUAUCAACCCUCUGAUUACAUAUCUCACCAAAUCUAAGAAAAAUUCCUCGAAUUGAGUUGAAGAGGAAAUACACAAAAAUAUCAAUAUUCCCCAAGAAAACGGAUCUGCGAUUUUAUAAUAAAUUUUUACGAGUGUAGAAAAUUGAGAUUGGAAAAUGUCGUUUCAAGAUCACGUUGGAAACCAUGCCGAAAUAUUCUAAGAAAUAUAGAAUCCCAAAGGUCCUUCAAGUACUCCAAGUUUCUCUUAAAAACGACAACUGUCCUCUCGCAACUUCACUUUACAUCCUUUUAUUAAGUGUCUUAACAAUUCUCUUCCCACGCGACACGAUACUAGAAGUAACAUUGGAAGAAUUAACGACGUUCCCUUGGGUAAUCUUUCGCGAAACUAUUAUACAUAUUGUACAAUUAAUACUAUUGUACCAGCUUAGACGGUAGAAUCCCUAAUUAUUUUCACAGUCGUGAAAGCUAUCCAAGUUGGCACGUGGAGGGAGGGGAUCUCUGCACAAGUCUGUAAGCACUCACUUGUUUCGAGAACAGCGAUGCGGCCGGAAAUGAAGAUCUCCACUGUUGUUAAGUUUACCCUACUAGCGGAAGGAAAGUAAAUAGAGCGAUUGUUUGGGAUUGAAGAUUAUCUUUAACGUGCUAUGUGACAUCACCACGAUUCCCGAUGAUUCGAUUUCACGAAGAGAAAAGAGACGUGCAGAGGGCAAAAACCUGUGGACGAUGCGGAGGGUGUAUUUAAGCCACGCGACAUUGAGCGUCGGAGUGUUGCUGGCAAGCUUCCACCGGAAAAUGAAAUUCUCGGAGUUCGCCGAUAUUGAACGAACCACCCCUAAUGGGAAGUAGAGGAAGCCGAAAAGGAAUCGCGACCUAUCCUCUUCAAGAGUGUUUCUGCAACGCGCCAUUUGUCAAUUCUCGACGAAAGAAACGAACGAAGGAAAAAAGGGGACGAAAUAAUAAACGGCGUGCACGAUGAAAAGAAACGAAAACACGUUAAAUAAGAAUGGAGAGAAGGGGCGAGCAUCGCAUUUAUUAUUUACUUCGUAAAACGGAUGUGGAAGCGCGGCUAAGACGAGUUCAUUUACGAGUUCCCAAGAUACGACUUCCUUUUCUCCAUCUCUGUAUAUCGCGAAGAAAAAGUUAAGAGACCGAAUAUCACGGAUAGACAGGAAGGGAAGAAGAGAUACUACCAAUCAGGAGUUUGGGAUUUCAGCCGUGGGAUUUUGUUAAAGGAGUUUGCGAGCGAAAACCGGGAUACGUCGUCGAAUAUCGAAAAAUCUGUAAACAACGUAAAACCUCUCCCUCUUUCUUUGAGCGAGGUGUGUAUAUAUGUACACCCUCGACGUGCGUGAUCUUAUGCGGAAAACAGGGGACUCGGAUUUUAUCGUGAUAAAACAGUAUCAUUAGAGGAUAUCUCGAGAUUUCGCGGCUAAGCUGGCGAUGUCGCGUUAAGCGGAUCAACGAUAUCGAUUUUUAACCCCUGGCAAGCCUGGGGAUAUGUGGCGAAAUGAUAAAUUUCUCUUGUGGAAAAGAGAAAACUUGUUAAAAAUGAAGUGAAAUUGAUCUGUUGGCUUUCGUAAUUUGUGUCACGUUGCUUAUACGCGAAAGAAGGACGAAAAAAAUAUUAUACGCUGUGCCUUUCUCGCCUACUAAUAGCCCGAGGAUGAAGAUUCAAAGCUUUGUCUCUCUUAUUUUUUCCCGUUAUCAUCGUGACUUCUCGUUUUGAUAUAUUUUUGGCACAAUUACGAUAUAAUGAUGCAAUUUAAUCGACGAAUUUCCCUUAUUUUAGUAAAUAAAAAGUGUGAUGAUAACGCGAAUUGUGUAUAUUGAUUUAAAUUCAAACAAUUGUAAUUAUUCAUAAUUGAAUUAAUGAUUAAACCUUUGUAUAUUUCGAUAUACAUAUCUCUAUAUAAAUGUAUCGCUUUAUAAUGUUAACUCGUUAAUAUACGUGUAUUAAUGUAAUGUACAAUACGUGGAUUAUAUAUGGAUGUAAUCAUGGAAGAAUCGAUUCUUUGAAAAGGGGAAACAAACGUUAAAAGUUAAUAUAGAAAAAUGUCAAUCAAGGUUUACUAAGUUAUUAAGUUAUAAAGCAAUUGAAGUUUGUGUUAAACGAAAUAGAAUAAGAUCGUUCUAUCUUUGUUAAACUGUCAUCACACUAUUUUCUCGCCUCGUUUCAUCUAACGCAAACUUAAAUUGCUUAUAACUUAAUAAAUAUAUAACUUAUAACUUAAUAAAUAAGCCUCGACCGACAUUUUUGUAUUGCAACUUUUGCGUUUGAUCUGAAUCCUAUAAAAUAUACCCACCAAAGAUAUUCUAUGAAUAUAUUAACAUAUGUUAUAUUAUAAUCUUAUGUA